UACAGAGGGUGCAAGCGUUGUCCGGAAUUAUUGGGCGUAAAGAGCUCGUAGGCGGUUCGGUAAGUUGGGUGUGAAACCUCCAGGCUCAACCUGGAGACGCCACCCGAUACUGCUGUGACUAGAGUCCGGUAGGGGAGCGUGGAAUUCCUGGUGUAGCGGUGAAAUGCGCAGAUAUCAGGAGGAACACCAGCGGCGAAGGCGGCGCUCUGGGCCGGAACUGACGCUGAGGAGCGAAAGCGUGGGUAGCAAACAGG
rnacentral:rRNA from 1 species